rnacentral:misc_RNA from 1 species
AUCACAAUUUGCUUACACAAACAGUGCCUAUAGCACACCUCCAUAAAUGUUUAUCUAAAAUACCGGUGUAAAAUAAAUGCAACUGGCAGGAUGGCCAGCAAGCAGCCAACCUCGCAGCAGCUAGCCUAUCUGGACGAGCUGAAGCAGCGUCUGCUGGACCUUCGGAAGCGGCAGAGGUCCUUUAUGGAUGAGACCGCACAGAUUCUGCGCACUAUCAACAAUGAUCCGGCAACGCCACAGCCGAAAACGGCAUCGACCAUCUCAUUUCCGGUAGCACCGAAGGCCGAGACCCAGGACUGUGGUGGUAAGAUCAAGGAGCUGAUUAAACGCUUCGAGGAUCUGCGCCAAACAUCGAGACAGUUCAGCGACCAGACGUUGCCCGACGAGCUGGUGGGCGUGGAUGUCCGCAAGCUACUCAGAGGAUAUGAGAAGCUCAUACUGGAGGGUAACAUUCUGCAAAAUUCCUGGCUCCUUUUGAGGAAAACUACGGAAAGUUGUGCGCGUCAGACCAACAGCGAUGCGCCAAACUUGAAGACUACGAGCUCAAAAUCCUCUUCUUUCGCAGAGCAAACGUCCGACAGCCCAGAGAAUGAUCUAUCCAGUGCUCCCAUUGGCUCAUCCCAAUCCCAACAAGACCCACCCAUAGAGAAGGCAUUCAGCGAGCAGUCCGACUGGAUGGAAUGGAGCGAUGGUUAGUUAAGCGAUUGCCUCUCUACCUCUUUCUAUUCUCUAAAACCAUGAAUUUACAGGGGCUGCACGAUGAAGUGUCGUCGAGUGCGAUGAAAAGCACAGAGUGAGACAAAUAUGAGAGAUAAAUGAGAGGAAGGUCAUAGAAAAUUCUCCGUCAACGUACAGUACACCAUGCAAUUAUGAAAUAUUUGUAUUUAAGUGCAUCACAACAAAAAUAAUACUAGAUGCAGCCAAACAGAUACUGAAUUGAUUAAAACCAAACUCCCGGCCAGAGCAUAAAUCAAUAGCCACACCACACACAU